rnacentral:rRNA from 1 species
GAUGAACGCUGGCGGCGUGCCUAAUACAUGCAAGUCGAGCGAACGGACGAGGAGCUUGCUCCUUUGACGUUAGCGGCGGACGGGUGAGUAACACGUAGGUAACCUACCUAUAAGACUGGGAUAACUUCGGGAAACCGGAGCUAAUACCGGAUAAUAUUUCGAACCGCAUGGUUCGAUAGUGAAAGAUGGCUUUGCUAUCACUUAUAGAUGGACCUGCGCCGUAUUAGCUAGUUGGUAAGGUAACGGCUUACCAAGGCAACGAUACGUAGCCGACCUGAGAGGGUGAUCGGCCACACUGGAACUGAGACACGGUCCAGACUCCUACGGGAGGCAGCAGUAGGGAAUCUUCCGCAAUGGGCGAAAGCCUGACGGAGCAACGCCGCGUGAGUGAUGAAGGUCUUCGGAUCGUAAAACUCUGUUAUUAGGGAAGAACAAACGUGUAAGUAACUGUGCACGUCUUGACGGUACCUAAUCAGAAAGCCACGGCUAACUACGUG